AUGACCCUACAAGAUAAUGACAUCCGUCAGACGGAGAGAAAGCGAGCAAGUUCGAGGAAAAGUACAGGAUUUUUGACAGUCGAGGGAUUUGCGUGGUUGCUUCUUAUUUUACAGAUGGAAGGCAAGAAGAGAAAGGAGAAGAAGAAGCGGAUUCUGGAAGGUGAUGCAUCAAAGUGCUCGAAAGUUGGUGGUGGGCCGGUGCGGUCAGAAUUUUCCCGGUGGAUUUUGGUGCCCCACUCCGCCCCUGUUGUGAAAACAAAAGUCAGGAGUUGUGGAGGUAAAUGAACAAAGUUUGGAAGAAGAUGCAAACCUCAAACCCAUCCAACACUUUAGGGAUGAACUGGACGAAUGAUCAAUUUUCUUCCUCUCUCGCUUGUUGCUGUUGUUCUGUCUCCACAAAAUAUGUGCAGAAACCGUAUCAAUAUGUAUAUUUGCUGCAGUUAAUUGUGCUGAGUAGCUGGAGCUGAAAAACCAGCACGGUAGUAAAAGACUUAAACGCAGCUAAUCGGUCCGUUAAACGUCUUUGUCGCCUCACAUGUUCACUAAAUGUAAUGUCACAUGGUGUUAAAUACGCCGACACUCUGCCAACCUCCCUCCGUAGACUUGUUUAUUUAUUUAUGUAUUUAUGUGCGCAUUUGUGUAAACAAUAUGGCAGAGAAUAAUUAUGUAUAUUAGUGACGGGAACCCCUUAAGGCUGCUAAUUAAUAUUCAGCUGAUUAUGUAGAGGAAGAAAACAUUAGGUGGGAGUCAUUAGGGUCGGGAAUUACCACAUAAAUUAUUCAAAGACGGAGGUAAUCAUAACCGAGUGUGUUCGUAACUAAACCUCCAAAACCAACACUAGGAAAAAAAAAAGGCUAAAUGAGAAUAAAACCAACAAAACAGAAUCAGUCAUCGCUUAAACGUGUAAAUUAAAGUUUUUAGAGAGUUUUUAAUUCAGGCUGUUAGAGACGAUCAGAGGCAGGAAU
rnacentral:lncRNA from 1 species